ensembl:rRNA 5S_rRNA 5S ribosomal RNA
CAUAGCAGCAUAUCACCCUGCAACUCACAACUGGCAACCCACUGAAGCUAAGCAGGUGUGAGCCUGGUCAGUACCUGGGUGGGAGACCUCCUGAGAAAAACUAAGGUUGCUGCUGGAA